rnacentral:rRNA from 1 species
UACGAAGGGGGGCUAGCGUUGUUCGGAGUUACAUGGGCGUAAAGGGCGCGUAGGCGGCUGGUCAAGUCGGGUGUGAAAGCCCGGGGCUCAACCCCGGAAAUGCACUCGAGAACUGAUCGGCUUGAGGACGGGAGAGGAUAGUGGAAUUCCAGUGUAGAGGUGAAAAUUCGUAGAUAUUGGGAAAGAACAACCGGUGGCGA